UGGUGGGUAGUUUGACUGGGGCGGUCUCCUCCCAAAGCGUAACGGAGGAGCACGAAGGUUAGCUAAUCCUGGUCGGACAUCAGGAGGUUAGUGCAAUGGCAUAAGCUAGCUUGACUGCGAGCGUGACGGCGCGAGCAGGUGCGAAAGCAGGUCAUAGUGAUCCGGUGGUUCUGAAUGGAAGGGCCAUCGCUCAACGGAUAAAAGGUACUCCGGGGAUAACAGGCUGAUACCGCCCAAGAGUUCAUAUCGACGGCGGUGUUUGGCACCUCGAUGUCGGCUCAUCACAUCCUGGGGCUGAAGUAGGUCCCAAGGGUAUGGCUGUUCGCCAUUUAAAGUGGUACGCGAGCUGGGUUUAGAACGUCGUGAGACAGUUCGGUCCCUAUCUGCCGUGGGCGCUGGAGAAUUGAGGGGGGCUGCUCCUAGUACGAGAGGACCGGAGUGGACGCAUCACUGGUGUUCGG
rnacentral:rRNA from 2 species